AAAUAAUCAGCGUUCGGCGUUAAUUUUCCUACAUACAGUAAGAAAACUAAAAAUCUUACCACCAUGAACGGAUUAUAUUAUGGAAUAUGCCUUUUAUUCGACGUACCCAAACUGUAUGCUCAUAGCAGUGUCAUCUCUGGUGCUUUCAUUGCAGCAGUCGCCUUCAAGAAGUUACUUCUCUAAAUUUUUUAUUAUGAUAUUCAUAAAAUUGAUAAAUAUCUGUUGAUUUAAAAGUUGUAAACUUGUUUUUUAAAUGAAUGUACGAGUUAAAAGAGUACAAAUUCU